rnacentral:tRNA from 1 species
GGGCGCGUAGCUCAGCUGGUUAGAGCGCACGGUUCACAUCCGUGAGGUUCGGAGGUUCGAGUCCUCUCGCGCCCA